rnacentral:rRNA from 1 species
GACGAACGCUGGCGGCGUGCCUAAUACAUGCAAGUAGAACGCUGAAGCGAGGAGCUUGCUCUUCUUGGGUGAGUUGCGAACGGGUGAGUAACGCGUAGGUAACCUGCCUUGUAGCGGGGGAUAACUAUUGGAAACGAUAGCUAAUACCGCAUAACAAUGGAUGACACAUGUCAUUUAUUUGAAAGGGGCAAUUGCUCCACUACAAGAUGGACCUGCGUUGUAUUAGCUAGUAGGUGAGGUAACGGCUCACCUAGGCGACGAUACAUAGCCGACCUGAGAGGGUGAUCGGCCACACUGGGACUGAGACACGGCCCAGACUCCUACGGGAGGCAGCAGUAGGGAAUCUUCGGCAAUGGGGGCAACCCUGACCGAGAAACGCCGCGGGAGUGAAGAAGGUUUUCGGAUCGUAAAGCUCUGUUGUAAGUCAAGAACGAGUGUGAGAGUGGAAAGUUCACACUGUGACGGUAGCUGACCAGAAAGGGACGGCUAACUACGUG